rnacentral:lncRNA from 1 species
UCAGCCUGUCGCGGGGAACGCGCUCGGGGCGACCCGGGCGGGAACGACUCUCGUCCUCCCUGAGCUGGAAGGGAGCGCGGGAUACGCCGGCGCGCUCAACCUCUCCUCUCUCGCUAGCGAAAAACUCCGCGCCUCAGAGCUGUAACCAGGUCGGGGAAAAACACAGGCGGCAAAGCCAGACCUGGAGGCCGCGGUGGAAACCCUUCCAGAGUAGCAAACACGAACGAAUGAGGUCUCAGAAGCACCCAUGAAAAAUAGAAACUGCUGCAGAGACUAAGAGGAAAAACUAAUAAAUAACAAUCAGCACUUGUGAAAGAGAUAAAGGACUCACAUACUUUUAUCAGAAAUGAUCAUGAACUAAAAGACCCAAGUGAAUAACAAUAGAAAGAUGUUGAAUUUCUAUUUGACUGGAGAUACCACUCAGGAAAUAAGGCCUUCUUCUCAGCCCCCUGAUGUUUGGACCCCAGACCAAGUGUGGACUCUUUCCUACUGUUUUGUUUGCUGGAGUCAAAAAUCAUGUCUCACCGGAGGGCUUCUAGUGAAUUUAGUCUUGCAUCCUAUUGAAGAAUCUGGAUCAUGGAAGAGGUCUGGAAAAACCAGUACCCAAAAGUGCUAUCAUUUCUAAU